rnacentral:rRNA from 1 species
UACGUAGGGCGCAAGCGUUAUCCGGAAUUAUUGGGCGUAAAGAGCUCGUAGGCGGUUUGUCGCGUCUGCCGUGAAAGUCCGGGGCUCAACUCCGGAUCUGCGGUGGGUACGGGCAGACUAGAGUGAUGUAGGGGAGACUGGAAUUCCUGGUGUAGCGGUGAAAUGCGCAGAUAUCAGGAGGAACACCAGUGGCGAAGGCGGGGCUCUGGGCCGAUACUGACGCUGAGGAGCGAAAGCGUGGGGAGCGAACAGG